rnacentral:rRNA from 1 species
CCACCACGUUGAUAGGCCGGGUGUGGAAGUGCGGUGACGCAUGGAGCUUACCGGUACUAAUAGCUCGAUAGGCUUGAUCGU